rnacentral:rRNA from 1 species
UACGUAGGGUGCAAGCGUUUGUCCGAAAUUAUUGGGCGUAAAGGGCUCGUAGGCGGUCCGUCACGUCGGGGAGUGAAAACUUGGGGCUUAACCCCAAGCCUGCUUCCGAUACGGGCGGACUAGAGGUAGGCAGGGGGAGAACGGAAUUCCUGGUGUGAGCGGUGAAAUGCGCAGAUAUCAGGAGGAACACCGGUGGCGAAGGCGGUUCUCUGGGCU